rnacentral:misc_RNA from 1 species
GUAGUGUGCGUGUGCGCGCGUGUGUGUGUGUCCAGUGAAAUCGAUACACGGAUAUUCCUUUGGUGUGUAAAAUGUUACAUUAUUAUAUAAUGUCUCGUCUCGUGAAGUUUAUUGGUAUAAGUCUCGAAAGGCCAUCGUAUAAACACCUCUACAUCUUACUGGUCUCUUUGCCUUUGUCACUCGGAACUACUCGGAUGUCUCCGCACUCGACAAUGACCUUGGACGUGAUACGGAGGCAUCCAUAUUGAUUGUUGAUUUGUUGGGAAGGAACUUCCCAGAGGACGCUUACGUAUGCACCUGCCACACCCCCUUUUGAAAUAUUCUCGUAAAAUUAUCAUGAAUGAUGAUGACUUGGAAAUUCAGUGUGUAAGCAAGCGGUAGCAAUUGAUAAGUGUAGAAGUCGUCAUCCAAUAAAAAGAAUGCCCUUUGAGCUGUGACUGUUUUCAGCCCUUGUUUGUGGUUAGCUGCCCAUAUUAUAUUGUAAACAGCUAAUGACCUAACAUUAGAAGUAUGGAGCUUGCGGAAUGAGCCGAGGAUUGCCGAUUGUGCCUUUGUCUCCCGCCAUUUUUUCUUGGAGCGGAUAACAACCUUUUUGAAACCGAGGCCAAAUCUAAUAUUUUCCUAAACCGUCGUACAUGUGUGAGCUGGUGUCUUCGGGCUGCGAAGAUGGAUAACAGAAGAAACACAUUAACAGAAGACUCAUUUAUAAUUGUGCUUUUCCCAGAAGAAGGGUCUGUCGCAUUGAUCCGAAAGUCAUGGAUUGAAAGUACAGAAAAUGAUGGAGAUGAAAUUCGAGGAAUAUGUUGGUGGCCUAGUGGUAAACGAUCACACACAACUGCUUUGAAGAGGGCAUACGUGCCAGACAAAUUUAUGUGGACAAGACACCAUAUACGUAUUUUAGGAUACGCUGAUACCUAUGAGGAAGCUUUAGAGAAGCUGAAAAUUUCAGAGGACACAUCAAAUAUUGACUCCCCAGCUAAAGGGAACUCUAAAGAGAGAAAUGAUGAUGAUAAUUUUCCUGAUGAGGAUGUAGAAUAUGAAGAUGCAGGUGAAGAUGAAGUAGAGGCUAAAGAAGAUGGAGAAGUGCCUGUGCCCAAAGAGCUCUUUUUUUCGUCUCCAUUACCAUCACAAAGUAAAAGUAGCAAACCUAGCCAGGAUGAUAAUAGUCCAGCAGAAAAGUUUUGUUCUGAUAGUGGUAAGUUGUCCUGCUAAAUCAAGUACAUAUAGGGAUACUUGUAAGUUUUAUAAAUUUAGCUUUUUAAUCUGACCCAUGCGUGUAUUAAUGCAUGUUUUUUGUUCUAUACGCGGUUUGGACUUUAUUAAAAUACAAGUAAUUGUGUUGGAUUUUGAUGUAAAUACUUGAAUUACACAUUUUUUCUUCAACAUUUUAUAUUUUAAUACAGAAUUCAAGCAAAGGAUGCUCUUUAAAUUGGAAGAGAUCAUUGCUAACCAACAUGAGGAACUCUGUCUUUUGCGACGUAUAAUUGCGGAAAAAAAUGCAGAGGAAGAAGAUGAUGCUUUCGAAUUUAAAAAGUUGAUGGAUUAUGAUGAUCUCAAAUCAUUAGAGGCUAAGCUUAAUGAGGAUAUGUUGUACAAAAGAAGACUGAGACAAUACCUCAGCACCAUUGGGGGGACCCAUGUCAAAGACUCUGUAAAAAGAAUGAUCCAGAUAUUGGGAUCUAACAGACUGUGGGCCAAAUUCAGCUUCAAAGGGCGAAAGGGAAAGAUGCCCUUUAGCAGUUUGGCUAUUUGUGCAGUUAUUAUCAAGGCAUAUAGGAAAAAUAACCCCAAAGUAACCUUGUUGGAAGUAGAAGAAGCCAUCAGCGAGUUUUUAAAGUAUGCCCCCAAAAUGCAGGGUGGCCCAAAGUACAAGGGUAAAGAAACAUGCACAAAUCCAAGAAGUGAAUCAAGUGAUGAAAAUGAACCACAGGCUGUGUAAACAUUACAUCUAUACCUACAUGACUCUUGCUUGGUCUUGUUGAAUAAGCAAAUCCCAGGAUCUCCUUACCUUCUUU